rnacentral:rRNA from 1 species
GACGUAGGGCGCGAGCGUUGUCCGGAUUUAUUGGGCGUAAAGAGCUCGUAGGCGGCUUGUCGCGUCGACUGUGAAAUCCCGCGGCUCAACUGCGGGUCUGCAGUCGAUACGGGCAGGCUAGAGUUCGGUAGGGGAGACUGGAAUUCCCGGUGUAGCGGUGAAAUGCGUAGAUAUCGGGAGGAACAUCAGUGGCGAAGGCGGGUCUCUGGGCAGUAACUGACGCUGAGGAGCGAAAGCAUGGGGAGCG